UAAGGCCCCUAAGUGAUAGCUAAGUGGAAAAGGAUGUGGAGUUGCGGAGACAACCAGGAGGUUGGCUUGGAAGCAGCCAUCCUUGAAAGAGUGCGUAAUAGCUCACUGGUCAAGUGAUUCCGCGCCGAUAAUGUAGCGGGGCUUAAGUUAUCCGCCGAAGCUGUGGCAACCUGUGUGGUUGGGUAGGGGAGCGUCGUGUCAGUGGUGAAGCUGCCGGGUGACUGUGUGGUGGAGUUGAUGCGAGUGAGAAUGCAGGCAUGAGUA
rnacentral:rRNA from 1 species